rnacentral:rRNA from 1 species
UACGUAGGGUGCAAGCGUUUAAUCGGAAUUACUGGGCGUAAAGCGUGCGCAGGCGGUUUUGUAAGUCUGUCGUGAAAGCCCCGGGCUUAACCUGGGAAUUGCGAUGGAGACUGCAAGGCUUGAAUCUGGCAGAGGGGGGGUAGAAUUCCACGUGUAGCAGUGAAAUGCGUAGAGAUGUGGAGGAACACCGAUGGCGAAGGCAGCCCCCCUGGGUCAAGAUUGACGCUCAUGCACGAAAGCGUGGGGAGCAAACAGG